AUGAACGCUGGCGGCGUGCCUCAUACAUGCAAGUCGCGCGAACAGACGAGGAGCUUGCUCCUCUGACGUUAGCGGCGGACGGGUGAGUAACACGUGGAUAACCUACCUAUAAGACUGGGAUAACUUCGGGAAACCGGAGCUAAUACCGGAUAAUAUAUUGAACCGCAUGGUUCAAUAGUGAAAGACGGUUUUGCUGUCACUUAUAGAUGGAUCCGCGCCGCAUUAGCUAGUUGGUAAGGUAACGGCUUACCAAGGCAACGAUGCGUAGCCGACCUGAGAGGGUGAUCGGCCACACUGGAACUGAGACACGGUCCAGACUCCUAAGGGAGGCAGCAGUAGGGAAUCUUCCGCAAUGGGCGAAAGCCUGACGGAGCAACGCCGCGUGAGUGAUGAAGGUCUUCGGAUCGUAAAACUCUGUUAUUAGGGAAGAACAAAUGUGUAAGUAACUAUGCACGUCUUGACGGUACCUAAUCAGAAAGCCACGGCUAACUACGUG
rnacentral:rRNA from 1 species